GACGAACGCUGGCGGCGUGCUUAACACAUGCAAGUCGAACGAAGAGCGACGGAAGCUUGCUUCUAUCACUCUUAGUGGCGACCAGGUGAGUCACGCGUAAUCAACCUGCCCUUCAGAGGGGGACAACAGUUGGAAACGACUGCUAAUACCGCAUACGAUCUAAUCUCGGCAUCGAGGAUGGAUGAAAGGUGGCCUCUACAUGUAAGCUAUCACUGCAGGAGGGGGUUGCGGCUGAUUAGCUAGUUGGAGGGGUAACGGCCCACCAAGGCGAUGAUCAGUAGCCGGUCUGAGAGGAUGAACGGCCACAUUGGGACUGAGACACGGCCCAGACUCCUACGGGAGGCAGCAGUGGGGAAUCUUCCGCAAUGGACGAAAGUCUGACGGAGCAACGCCGCGGGAGUGAUGACGGCCUUCGGGUUGGAAAGCUCUGUUAAUCGGGACGAAAGGCCUUCUUGCGAAUAGUGAGAAGGAUUGACGGUACCGGAAUAGAAAGCCACGGCUAACUACGUG
rnacentral:rRNA from 1 species